rnacentral:misc_RNA from 1 species
AGGUGGGACCGUGUCUUUGUGGACUUGUCCGGGUCACAGCGCAGCCAGCUUCUCGCAUCCAUCGAACGCCUUCUUCCCUCGUCCCAGACACUCCCUCCAAAUUCGCAGCGCAGCGCCUCUCUGCACUGUGUUCCAUGCAUCGCUUCAUCUGCUGGCCACGGAGUUUGCGCGCCGGUUCGUAUGCGUCCGCAGCACUGCGCAACGCGAUCGCGUACUCUGGCCGCGCUAGUGAUCCUAGCGAGCCUGUCCAACACCCCAGAGACGGUGAUGCCGGUGCGGAGGACGUGAUCACCCCAUGGGUGGUGACCGCCAAGGGUCCACAGGGUAUCAACUACGAUCGUGUGCUGACCACAUUUAAAGCGGAGCGUAUGGACGACGGUGCGCGUCAGCACAUGCACGAUGUCAUGGCCAAGCGCCGCAAGCGGGCCAUGGCCACCACCCCAUCCGCUAACGCUGAGGGCGUCGCGACCCCGGAUUUGACUGUGGUGCCAUCUGGAGAUGCGACACCGCAGGCCGCCGCGUCCCCUGACAUGCAGCAGCGGCAGCAGCCACCAGCACUGGCGCUUCACCACUUCUUCAACCGCGACAUUGCCUUCUCGCACCGCGAUUUGCACAAGGCGCUUGUGGAUAUCGAGGCUUCCAUCAAAACGGGAGAGUGCUCUGUCUUCCUCUACACUGGCCGUGGCCCUAGCACUGGCGCCAUGCACUUGGGCCAUGUGCUGCCCUUCAUGCUCACCAAGUACCUCCAAGACGUCUUCAACCUUCCGCUCGUUAUACAAAUCACAG